CAACUGCUCUUCCUCGCAAACACUGCUAACGUUGCUUCAUCCCACUUAUGCAACAGCAAAUCAGGAGCUCAAAAAUGUGGAUUAUUAAAAUGGACAAUGUGACGACUCUUCUUUGUCUACAAAUCGUGUUGUCCUUUGCCGCUAAACAAGGGGAUUUUGGCAUCUUCAAAGCUUGCAAUAACAACAACACUUUAGAGUUACAGUGCUUGUACCCAAACUGCCACAACUCUCCACCUUUCUCCUGCAACAUUAGAAGCUUAGACUUGAAACCACCUCUUAAUGAGAAUAAGUGCAUCGUGACCAUCCCUCAAUACAAGAUAAUUUACGCCAACAAAACCAUCGUCUUCAACUGCACCCUCACUCGAAAAGGCAGAGAGGAGGUGAAGAAUAUUACCAUCAACUACAGCAUCAAGAAAGGAAAACGCCGCACAAGACCUUGCAAAGGAACAGCAUGUUCGAUGCAGCGGCCAGUCCUCAUGGCCCAUCUAUGGACUUUAGUGAUCCUGCUGUGGAUUGUCCUGGUUAAAUAAAAAUAAACAAACAAAAC
ensembl:lncRNA